ACUACGGGGGGCUGCAGUGGGGAAUAUUGGGCAAUGGGCGCAAGCCUGACCCAGCAACGCCGCGUGAAGGAAGAAGGCUUUCGGGUUGUAAACUUCUUUUAAGAGGGAAGAGCAGAAGACGGUACCUCUUGAAUAAGCCACGGCUAACUACGUGCCAGCAGCCGCGGUAAUACGUCGGGGGCAAGCGUUGUCCGGAUUUACGGGGUGGAAAGGGCGUGCAGCCGGGAAGACAAGUCAGAUGUGAAAUCCCGCGGCUCAACCUCGGAACUGCAUUUGAAACUGUUUUUCUUGAGUACCGGAGAGGUCAUCGGAAUUCCUUGUGUAGCCGUGAAAUGCGUAGAUAUCAGGAAGAACACCAGUGGCGAAGGCGGCUGACUGGACGGCAACUGACGGUGAGGCGCGCAAGCGUGGGGAGCAAACAGGAUUAGAUACCCCGGUAGUC
rnacentral:rRNA from 1 species